AGUGAACGCUGGCGGUAGGCCUAACACAUGCCAGUCGAACGGCAGCACAGUAAGAGCUUGCUCUUACGGGUGGCGAGUGGCGGACGGGUGAGGAAUACAUCGGAAUCUACUUUUUCGUGGGGGAUAACGUAGGGAAACUUACGCUAAUACCGCAUACGACCUACGGGUGAAAGCAGGGGAUCUUCGGACCUUGCGCGAUUGAAUGAGCCGAUGUCGGAUUAGCUAGUUGGCGGGGUAAAGGCCCACCAAGGCGACGAUCCGUAGCUGGUCUGAGAGGAUGAUAAGCCACAAUGGAACUGAAAAACGGGCCAAGCCCCUACGGGAGGGAGCAGUGGGGAAUAUUGGACAAUGGGGGGAAGCCUGAUUCAGGCAUACCGGGGGGGUGAAAAAGGCCCUUGGGUUUGAAAGGCCUUUUGGUGGGAAAGAAAAGGAGGCGGGUUAUACCCCGCUGGUUUGACGGGAACCAAAGAAUAAGCACCGGCUAACUUCGUG
rnacentral:rRNA from 1 species